GAUGAACGCUAGCUACAGGCUUAACACAUGCAAGUCGAGGGGUAACGAGAGGAAAGCUUGCUUUCCUUGUCGACGACCGGCGCACGGGUGAGUAACGCGUAUCCAACCUGCCCCCAACUAGGGAAUAACCUUGCGAAAGUAAGACUAAUACCCUAUGAUUUCCUUUGAUGGCAUCAGAUUAGGAAUAAAGAUUUAUCGGUUAUAGAUGGGGCUGCGUAUGCUUGGCUUGUUGGCGGGGUAACGGCCCACCAAGGCAACGAUCAGUAGGGGUUCUGGGAGGAAGGUCCCCCACAUUGGAACUGAGACACGGUCCAAACUCCUACGGGAGGCAGCAGUGAGGAAUAUUGGUCAAUGGGCGGAAGCCUGAACCAGCCAAGUAGCGUGCAGGAUGACGGCCCUAUGGGUUGUAAACUGCUUUUAUACAGGAAUAAAGUUAGCCACGUGUGGUUAUUUGUAGGUACUGUAUGAAUAAGGACCGGCUAAUUCCGUGCCAGCAGCCGCGGUAA
rnacentral:rRNA from 1 species